UUUAUUUUUUUUUUGAGUUAGAUAGGAAGUCUCUGUCUUGUCUUAAACUUGAUGUUCUGUAAGAUGUUCCAUUGGUCCGAAUUAUUGCACUAUCUUUUCAUCAGGUACUGUAUUUUAUAUAAAUAUAUUCUCAUGUCACAUAAAAUUCGAUGCAAAGUUUAUUGGGAUUUAAUGACAUCAAUAAAUCAUCAAUAAAUCCUCCUUUGUUUAUCUAUUCUUUUAGACUUUCUUGUACAACCUUAUUUCUCUUUUCCUUAUGGGGAAUGCUAUUCGAACGUCUAUCCAUUUUACC
rnacentral:lncRNA from 1 species